AGAAGCUCCACCGCAGCGUCACUUGCUACCGUGGGAAGGGGAGAACUAUGCACAGUGGUGCCGACCGCUCUGCAGCCCGUGGUGCAUCUGGCAGUGACACGAUGCUAGAAAGGAAGAGAUCUCCUGAUAAAUCCCUGUUUCUCAGGGCAUGUUUGCACCAGCCAAAGCAGAUGCAUUUAGAGCAUUUCAGGAGAAGUCUGUGAAAAGCAGGAGCUCGUGUGCCUUUGAUCAGUGCUGCAUCCAGAUCCUUUGCUGUUCUUUGGGUUGUGAGGAGCUUCAUCAGAGGAUGGGGAUAAGCAUCCUGCACCUCCUGCCAUCCAGCACAACGAUGCUCCCUGGGGCUGGCUCCUGCUCCAGCCUGCCACUACCCAAGAACAGGUCAGUAUCAAUUGUAACUUUUGAGGGGAGUCAACACCAAGUAGAGAGGGUCUUUUCGGUGUCAAGAUAGAAACCUGUAAAAUACAUGGAGCAUCUCAAAGCGGUGGCCUGCCCGUGGCGGGGAAUGGUCAAUCCUCAGCAGAGCCAAAGUUUCCAUCAGCUGAACUCUUAUGUCCCAGACUGAAUUCCAAAUACUCUCUGGAUGAUUCUCAGCAGCUCCACUUUCUGAAAAUGCCUGAUUCAAGGAUGAAAAUUGUCCUUCGAGUUAUGAGAAAGAAACACAAC
rnacentral:lncRNA from 1 species